GUACGGGAGGCAGCAGUAAGGAAUAUUGCGCAAUGGACGAAAGUCUGACGCAGCGACGCCGCGUGGGGGAUGAAGGUCUUCGGAUUGUAAACCCCUUUCGGGAGGGAAGAUGGAGUGGGUAACCACUUGGACGGUACCUCCAGAAGCAGCCACGGCUAACUUCGUGCCAGCAGCCGCGGUAAUACGAAGGUGGCAAGCGUUGUUCGGAUUCACUGGGCGUACAGGGAGCGUAGGCGGUUGGGUAAGCCCUCCGUGAAAUCUCCGGGCCUAACCCGGAAAGUGCAGAGGGGACUGCUCAGCUAGAGGAUGGGAGAGGAGCGCGGAAUUCCCGGUGUAGCGGUGAAAUGCGUAGAGAUCGGGAGGAAGGCCGGUGGCGAAGGCGGCGCUCUGGAACAUUUCUGACGCUGAGGCUCGAAAGCGUGGGGAGCAAACAGGAUUAGAUACCCCGGU
rnacentral:rRNA from 1 species